UGGGGAAUAUUGCACAAUGGGGGAAACCCUGAUGCAGCGACGCCGCGUGGAGGAAGAAGGUCUUCGGAUUGUAAACUUCUGUUCUUAGUGAAGAAUAAUGACGGUAGCUAAGGAGCAAGCCACGGCUAACUACGUGCCAGCAGCCGCGGUAAUACGUAGGUGGCAAGCGUUAUCCGGAUUUACUGGGUGUAAAGGGAGCGUAGACGGAAUGGCAAGUCUGAUGUGAAAGGCAGGGGCUUAACCCCUGGACUGCAUUGGAAACUGCUGUGCUUGAGUGCCGGAGGGGUAAGCGGAAUUCCUAGUGUAGCGGUGAAAUGCGUAGAUAUUAGGAGGAACACCAGUGGCGAAGGCGGCUUACUGGACGGUAACUGACGUUGAGGCUCGAAAGCGUGGGGAGCAAACAGGAUUAGAUACCCUGGUAGUCCACGCCGUAAACGGUGGAUGCUGGAUGUGGGGACCAUUCCACGGUCUCCGUGUCGGAGCCAACGCGUUAAGCAUCCCGCCUGGGGAGUACGGCCGCAAGGCUAAAACUCAAAGAAAUUGACGGGGGCCCGCACAAGCGGCGGAGCAUGCGGAUUAAUUCGAAGCAACGCGAAGAACCUUACCAGGUCUUGACAUCCUGCUAACGAAGUAGAGAUACAUUAGGUGCCCUUCGGGGAAAGCAGAGACAGGUGGUGCAUGGUUGUCGUCAGCUCGUGUCGUGAGAUGUUGGGUUAAGUCCCGCAACGAGCGCAACCCCUAUUGUUAGUUGCUACGCAAGAGCACUCUAGCGAGACUGCCGUUGACAAAACGGAGGAAGGUGGGGACGACGUCAAAUCAUCAUGCCCCUUAUGACCUGGGCUACACACGUAAUACAAUGGCGGUCAACAAAGGGAUGCAAAGCCGCGAGGCAGAGCGAACCCCAAAAAGCCGUCCCAGUUCGGAUCGCAGGCUGCAACCCGCCUGCGUGAAGUCGGAAUCGCUAGUAAUCGUGGGUCAGCAUACCACGGUGAAUACGUUCCC
rnacentral:rRNA from 1 species